ensembl:lincRNA
GGCGCAUAAUGGGACAAUUGUUGUCAAGGGGCUUUUAUGUCAAAUAAAAAGGUUUUUAAUUUCACUUUGUUACGCUGAGAAAUCAUGAAGUUUGCUCGGAAUUUGCUUUUCGAAAGCCUGUCCGCUUGCAAAACUGCCAGAAUGUGUCAUGGAAGGAUUUAAAGCUGCUUUGUGGGCACAGACGGGAAAAGACAGAAAAUCCACUCAGGCACUCUGCACACAGCCCAGAACAAAUUGUCAUCUUAUCUACGGAUUCUUCCAAUAACAGCUCGCCGAAUUGUCUCAGGGCUGUGAUCUUACACAUACUGGAACAACAAUGGCCCCAAAGCUGCUUUUAAAAGGCUUUCUUCUGCUUUUAAUCACACUGACAAGAAGCUCCAUAUUUGUGUCAGGUCAAGAAACUACAACUGCAACAUCACUUAGCAACUCUACAGCUGAUUCAUCUACUCCAAACAUAACAUCUGCAGAACCAACAACAUCUGGAAUGAAUGACUCCUCAUCAUCGAAUGUUUCAUUCAGCGCUACUACAGCACCUGGAGUUGGAUCAAUGGUCACUACCAUUCCAACCAAUGGCACAGGAAACACAAGUUACUCUUGGGCCACCACUGUUUCUCCAGUCUCUGGAAUGACAUCAGUUUAUGCAAACUCCACUUCUGCAGCGAACAGCAUGACUAGUUUGCUCGCCUGUAAGUCUUUCAGCUGCAGUGCGCCAGAUUGCUACACAAUGUAUAUGAACGAGACAGCAAGCAACUGCUCUUCUGGCAAUGCCUUCUGUGAGCUCAAACGGCUGAGCAGCAGCAACUACACCACGGGCUGCAGCACCACCUGCAACAGCACGUCCAGCAGGUGCGCGAAUGAAACCCAGCUUCCGUGUGUUGUCGAGUGCUGCCGAACCCCCAACUGCCUGAACGGAUCCAUGCAGCUCAUCAGAACCAGCUUCGUGACUACACGUGCGCCAACAACCACCACCACUAACCCAACUACAACUGUUGCAAAUAAUGGCAAGAAGUGCCAGACCAUGACUUGCAAUGGUGAAGCCUGCUACAAAACACAAGCGAAAAACGACAAGUUGUGUCCCAUCGGAUAUGAGUUUUGUGAGCUGAAAAAGACAGUUGCCAAUGCUGUCAUGACCUGGACCUCAGGCUGUAGCAAGGACUGCAUCAAGCUCCCCUUGAUCGUCUGCACAUCCACUACUGUGGACUGCCUUCAGGAAUGCUGUAAUGCAACUCAGAAAGAAUCUUGUCUCAAGAUGGAUGGGUCUGUUAACAUGCCCAAUGGUGCCAGCACACUUUAUAUUCCUUCACACUUCAUAUUCCUGACCAGCUCAUUCCUGAUCUGGAUUUUAAAUAGUCAGCUUCAAUCCCUCCUGAUUCAGUAGGCCAGGAGAGAGUGUCGAUUCUUUCUGUGGCUUAGUGCGAACAACUCAAGUUGACUGACAGAGCAGGACAUGUCCUUUGUACUGUAGUUUCACAUGUCUGUUUUGUAUUCUUUUUUUUUUUGUUUGUUUCGCAUGUUUGGUGAGCAAAGGUAACAGCUAAAGGGCACAACGAAACAGGAGUAGCUUUUACAGUCGCGUCAAUGCUUAACGUUUUGCAAGAAACAACUCAUGCUAAAAAAGACUUGAUCUUUGUUAUGGCUAUACAAAUUACACCUGUAUCAUGCAUAUUGGGCAUUGCUGAAAAAAAUAUUGUUACUGUCAUUCAAGCACUACUGUAUGCAUGCUGUCAGUUUUGGGGGGAUUUCUAAAGUAUGUUUUGCUUUAGAAAUAUAUCUUUUGCUUUUAGAUGUAAUUUUAUAAAAUAAUAUUACAUGAAGCCUUUUUUAUAAAAAUGCACUUUCAUCACUGAAUUAAGAAUUUCUGUCUUUACAGAAAUAUUACUCAUGAAUUAAAGUUGGGCCCAUUGACUGCAUUUCAAUACUGACAGUAAAUAUUGAAAAAAAGUCUCCUUUCUAGGCACAGUACAGUAUCUUCAAAGAUAGAUAUUCUGGCAUGUAUUUUAUAGACAAAAAGACAUAUAUAAUUCAUUGGAAGUUGGCAAGCAAAGUGCUUUCAAGUUGUUAAUUCACCAGAUGUACAAUGCUUGAGUGCAGGUCCAUUUCUAUAGUCCUAUAUGCCCCAAGGUAUUUAUAUCUCCUUCAAUGGUAACAUCUCAUUACCUUCUCCGAUGUGUGAUGUAUUCAAAGGUUUAUCAGUUGUAUUGUGCUAAGCUACAUAAAACAUUAAUAAUAUGGUACACAAAAACAGUUACAGAUAUUGUUAUACCUCUUCAUGAAGUUCAUCUUGGUCUAUAUUGUAACUGCUAGUUUUAGCUUUAAGUAUCCGAAUGCCUCAAUCAUUUAAAUUAAAAUUUGUAAAUAGUUUUCUUUGAAAAAAUCAGGUUGUAAAAAAGGCUUAACAAAAAUCAAUUCACUUUUCUGCCACAACAUCAAUUAUGUUUUUAAAAAAUUUUACAUUUUCUGUGUACUAUAUAUAUGUGAUAUUGUACAUUAAAAUAUAGCAAUAUAUAAUUAUAUUUUCCCUUAUGAAUUAUUGUGGUACAAAAAAGUACAACAAUAAACAUUACAUUUUCCCCUUAACAAUUAUUUGAAGAGCAGUUUAUUUUUUAAAUUAUAUAUCUUGUUCUUGCUUUUACUGCUUUGUAACAUACUAUACAAAAUAAACUUUCAAAGAGAUUAUUCUAUAAUAAAACAAAACUGAGUAGCUUGCGUUGUAUUACUGAUAAGCAUGUACUGCAUUGCCAAGUUUUUGUGACAGACUGUAAGUGAUGUAAUACAAAAGACAGAGAUAUUUAACUAUCACUUGAUAUUAAUAUCUUUUUAAAUAGCAUUAAAUAUAGCAAGAAGCAUUCAAUAAAAAAAUAUUCCAAAAUUGUAUUUUAGCUUUGUUCAAUCAAUGGGAAAGGUGCAGCUGUGGUCAAAAACUGAAACUCAAUUCACUAAUCAAAUUCACAUUCCAGCUCCAGGACUAGUACUGUAAGUGGCAUUAUACUGUAUAUAGCAGUGGAUAUACAGUACAGUAUAUACUGGGCUUAAGUCUUUA